ACUCCUACGGGAGGCAGCAGUGAGGAAUAUUGGACAAUGGGGGCGAACCCUGAUCCAGCCAUGCCGCGUGAGUGAUGACGGCCUUAGGGUUGUAAAGCUCUUUCGCUAGGGAAGAUAAUGACGGUACCUAGUAAAGAAGCCCCGGCUAACUUCGUGCCAGCAGCCGCGGUAAUACGAAGGGGGCUAGCGUUGUUCGGAAUCACUGGGCGUAAAGCGCGCGUAGGCGGACUUUUAAGUCAGGGUGAAAUCCCGGGGCUCAACCUCGGAACUGCCUUUGAUACUGGAAGUCUUGAGUUCGAGAGAGGUGAGUGGAAUACCGAGUGUAGAGGUGAAAUUCGUAGAUAUUCGGUGGAACACCAGUGGCGAAGGCGGCUCACUGGCUCGAUACUGACGCUGAGG
rnacentral:rRNA from 1 species